rnacentral:lncRNA from 10 species
ACCCCAGUGAUUCAACCGCGCCACCGAGCGCGGAGCUGCCCUGGAGGACGCAGGCGGGUCUAGUUGCCCGGGUCCCCCAAGGCCCCCGGAUUCACCCAGGCCCGCGACUCCGACGUGCAGCUUAGGUGGGUUGCAGGUCUAUGGCAGGAAAGGGAGGGCGCCUUGGAAGAAUUCUUCCCUUCCAUUUGGUGAUAAAGUGGGAGAGGCGGCAUUUACAACAUUUAAUAGAAAGCACGGGCUCUGGGCUCCCCUCGGGCAGCGGAGGGCAUUUCCCGGAUGCUUUGCCCACCUGGGGCAGAAGCUCGGGACCUGCAGCGAAGUAAACGUGUGGCUGUGAGCAGGGCCCUCUCCCAGCCACGGUGGCUUCUUCUACCCCACGAAGGUCAAGAAUACCUGGCCUGCCCACCUCGCGGGGCCCUUAGCGGGUCGCACAGGAGAAAGGCGGUGGGAAUGCCGGUGUCAGCCACGGUGUGACCGGCUCGGCUCACAGGUCUGAGGGUCAGUUGGCUCAGGCAUCGCCCGGUACGACCAGAGAUAGUGACUGAGGAAGAGCAGCCUCACAUCUGGCAGUUUGCCUCUGGGAGAAUUCCAGCGUGACAUCUGCAGCUCUGUGGUUCCAGAAAGGAUGGUUCCCACAUUGAAGAAGACAUCUGUGGGACUGAGUUCCACCGAAAUGCAGAGGAACCAAAAAUGAAAAUGAAAAAUGUAACCAGAGUUGUGUGCCACUAGUUUUAAGCUUUGGUUUUUCUAAAUUAUUUUCUGGCUUCUCCUUCUGGGCUUUGCUGUAAACUUGCCAAGCAUGAGAACAACUCUUCAUCUAUUGAGUGGCAUUUUAAGCCAUCCUGUCAAAGUAUCUCCUGUCAUUUUUAUUAUUAUUACUCUAUAUUGCCUGCAAGACACGACUGGAGAAUUCUUAGUGUAAGAAUUGUUUGUUUCCUCUCUCCUUCUUUCCCACGUUUUCCCAGGGAAGUCAGUCUUGCAUUUUAAUGCAUACUAUAUACAUAUCUCGUUUAGCUUACUGAACCACUUGUUUUAACAGAAUAAAACUGUGCAAAAUUUUAA